AAUAAUAUUUAGGGUUUAUUUAGCUAAUUAUUUUUCAUAUAGUUUUUGAAAAAAAUAGUUGAAAUUUGGGUGUUAGUUAUGAAAAGAUAUUUUGUUUUAUGGUUGUUUAUUAGUUCUCUUAUAGAUUUCUAACCUAAUUUGUUUAUUAUUUGAGUAGGGAACAAUAAUGUUGUGGUGUGAUGUGAUACCCCAAGGCUUGAGAAUGGUUCUGUAUUGAGUAGCUAUGACUAGGUGUGGGGUUAUAUAAGCCUGAAUCGGCUAAGACUCAAUAGCUGAGGUAUAGCAUUUUGGGCUAGCGGAUUAGGCUUAACAGGUUAUUGGGUCUAGGAUACCCAGUUAAUCAAGCCGCGCGCUUAGUGAUUGAUGACCUCCUUGGAAAGUAGGUCAUCACACCUCUAAAAUUUGGAAUAGUUCUAUAUGUAAAGUAUAAAAGAACUAAACCUUUUAACUCGGUUAUAUAAUUUUGGACGGUGGUUAGACUUAAGAGGUUAAGUGGGUUAAGCGCAUUAAGACUAGAAUAGUGUCACACCCCGGGGCACUUUUGUAAAAGCUUUUGUAGUGAAAAUAGCAAAAAAUAUAUAAUUUAUAAACCGUAGGAUUUAAUAGGUUAGAUUAUCACUAAAAGUGGGGUGAAUAGGUGAGAGCAAGUA
rnacentral:lncRNA from 1 species